rnacentral:rRNA from 1 species
UUCCGGUUGAUCCUGCCGGAGGCCGUUGCUAUUGGAGUCCGAUUUAGCCAUGCUAGUCGCACGGGUUCAGACCCGUGGCGAAUAGCUCCGUAACACGUGGCCAAACUACCCUAUGGAUCGGAAUAACCUCGGGAAACUGAGGCUAAUACCGAAUACCGCUCUCAUCCUGGAACUGGAGAGAGCACCAAACGCUCCGGCGCCAUAGGAUGUGGCUGCGGCCGAUUAGGUAGACGGUGGGGUAACGGCCCACCGUGCCGAUAAUCGGUACGGGUUGUGAGAGCAAGAGCCCGGAGACGGUAUCUGAGACAAGAUACCGGGCCCUACGGGGCGCAGCAGGCGCGAAACCUUUACACUGCACGAACGUGCGAUAAGGGGACUCCAAGUGCGAGGGCAUACAGUCCUCGCUUUUCUGUACCGUAAGGUGGUACAGGAAUAAGAGCUGGGCAAGACCGGUGCCAGCCGCCGCGGUAAUACCGGCAGCUCGAGUGAUGGCCAAUAUUAUUGGGCCUAAAGCGUCCGUAGCUGGCCGAACAGGUCCGUCGGGAAAUCCGCUCGCUCAACGAGCGGACGUCCGGCGGAAACCAGUCGGCUUGGGACCGGAAGACCCGAGGGGUACGGCCGGGGUAGGAGUGAAAUCCUGUAAUCCUGGCCGGACCACCGGUGGCGAAAGCGCCUCGGGAAGACGGAUCCGACAGUGAGGGACGAAAGCUAGGGUCACGAACCGGAUUAGAUACCCGGGUAGUCCUAGCUGUAAACGAUGCUCGCUAGGUGUGGCACUGGCUACGAGCCAGUGCUGUGCCGUAGGGAAGCCGAGAAGCGAGCCGCCUGGGAAGUACGUCCGCAAGGAUGAAACUUAAAGGAAUUGGCGGGGGAGCACUACAACCGGAGGAGCCUGCGGUUUAAUUGGACUCAACGCCGGA